UACAGAGGUCUCAAGCGUUGUUCGGAUUCAUUGGGCGUAAAGGGUGCGUAGGUGGGUUGGUAAGUCAGUGGUGAAAUACUUUCGCUUAACGAAGGAACUGCCAUUGAUACUACCAGUCUUGAAUACAGUGGAGGUAGGCGGAAUGCGUCAUGUAGCGGUGAAAUGCUUAGAUAUGACGCAGAACACCAAUUGCGAAGGCAGCUUGCUACACUGUUAUUGACACUGAGGCACGAAAGCGUGGGGAUCAAACAGG
rnacentral:rRNA from 1 species